rnacentral:rRNA from 1 species
UACAGAGGUCUCAAGCGUUGUCCGGAAUCAUUGGGCGUAAAGAGCGUGUAGGCGGCCCGGUAAGUCCGCUGUGAAAGUCGGGGGCUCAACCCUCGAAUGCCGAUGGAUACUGCCGGGCUAGAGUCCGGAAGAGGCGAGUGGAAUUCCUGGUGUAGCGGUGGAAUGCGCAGAUAUCAGGAGGAACACCGGUGGCGAAGGCGGGUCUCUGGGCAACAACUGACGCUGAGGAGCGAAAGCGUGGGGAGCGAACAGG